UACGAAGGGGGCUAGCGUUGUCCGGAUUUAUUGGGCGUAAAGAGCGUGUAGGCGGUCUGGUAGGUCCGCUGUGAAAACUCGAGGCUCAACCUCGAGACGCCGGUGGAAACCAUCAGACUAGAGUCCGGAAGAGGAGAGUGGAAUUCCUGGUGUAGCGGUGAAAUGCGCAGAUAUCAGGAAGAACACCCGUGGCUAAGGCGGCUCUCUAGUACGGUACUGACGCUGAGACGCGAAAGCGUGGGGAGCGAACAGG
rnacentral:rRNA from 1 species